CCUUCUCAUGAUCGGUGUGUCCUGUUGAAGUGAGCAGCGUGCAGACAGAAUCCAACUGCACAGAAAGCCCGCGCAGAUGCAACAAUUUCUUGUGAAUCAGGGCAGAAUACGGCGAAGAUAAAAGCGGCGAGCGAGAGUGACGUGGCAGACCUGGUGGCAUCAAGCUGCUCAAGAACGGCAGAAACACAAGGGCCAUAACGCGGAGUGAAACACUCAGAAAGGCGCUAAGUACGAAAUACGCCCAAUACUUCUGAAAGCCAUGUGCACUAAAUACAAGCAUACAUGCAUUAUUUUACAAAAUUAUCCAAGAUCGCUAAAGAAGUUGAAGAACAUAUCAUUGUUUAUAUGUUUGCGGCUACUCAUGGCUGCAAAAUUUGCGGCUGCGACUGAUUCAUCGGAAAACAUGACUGGUCUGGAAUAUCUGUUCAAGCAUCUAUCUUAUUCGUCAGCUCAACUCGAGCUUCCCAGCCGAGAGUUCUCUCUUAGUGUGACAAAAGAUUCCGAUGGUGAGCAGCCUCAAACUUUCGGAUUUAACCUUACAAAUGGAAAAUUAUUCCAGAAAAGUGGCGCUAAGAAUACUACCGGGUCCCCAAAUAAUUGUGAAUACAGAAGCGAUGACGCAGUAUCUUGCUACAUUUCCAUUCUCGACUGGAACGCCACUUACCAAGGAGAAAUCAAUCACACUGAGCUAGGGAAUGGGAACUUCAACCUCACCAUCGCUAUAAAAAAAUGGAAUCUUCCACAAAAUCCUGCUGAUAUGUGGAUACACAUGAAAUUUACAGAAAAUUCUACUGAUCGUUACACCAGCACAACACCUUCAGAUUUUGUGCCAGUUCCGACUGCAGAACCAGCGUUCCAGAACCUUUCCAUGUUUAAACAAAAUUCUAGUUUGUCAGAAAAUGCGUGGGCUGAGCUAAACAAGACAGUAUGGAGACGCAUCAAGCUCGAUGUUAUGAACACAAUGAUGACAAAGUAUAAAGACUGGGUAGAGAAGGAAAUACGAUAUUAGGAAGUUUAUGGGGACGGCCACCUAAAUGGGCUCUAUAUCAUUGUAUGUCAUUGACUUCGAGAAAUGUGACUAAAUCAAUGGCGUAUUACUCUG